AGCCGCGGUAAUUCCAGCUCCAAUAGCGUAUAUUAAAGUUGUUGCAGUUAGAACGCUCGUAGUCGGAUUUCGGGGCGGGCCGACCCGGUCUGCCGAUGGGUACGCACUGGUCGGCGCGUCCUUCCUUCCGGAGACCGUGCCUACUCUUAACUGAGCGGGGGCGGGAGACGGAUCGUUUACUUUGAAAAAAUCAGAGUGUUUCAAGCAGGCAGCUCGCUCUUGCAUGGAUUAGCAUGGGAUAAUGAAAUAGGACUUUGGUGCUAUUUUGUUGGUUUCGAACACCGAAGUAAUGAUUAAAAGAGACAGUCAGGGGCACUCGUAUUCCGCAGAGAGAGGUGAAUUCUCAGACCCGCGGAAGACGAACCACUGCGAAAGCAUUUGCCAGGGUUGUUUUCACUGAUCAAGAACGAAAGUUAGGGGAUCGAAGACGAUCAGAUACCGUCGUAGUCUUAACCAUAAACCAUGCCGACUAGGGAUUGGGGGAUGUUCACUGAUUGACUCCCUCAGCACCUUACGGGAAACUAAAGUCUUUGGGUUCCGGGGGGAGUAUGGUCGCAAGGCUGAAACUUAAAGGAAUUGACGGAAGGGCACCACCAGGUGUGGAGCCUGCGGCUUAAUUUGACUCAACACGGGGAAACUUACCAGGUCCAGACAUUGUGAGGAUUGACAGAUUGAGAGCUCUUUCUUGAUUUAAUGGGUGGUGGUGCAUGGCCGUUCUUAGUUGGUGGAGUGAUUUGUCUGGUUAAUUCCGUUAACGAACGAGACCUUAGCCUGCUAAAUAGUGACGCGAACACUUCGUUCGCGGGCCACUUCUUAGAGGGACAACUUGUCUUCAACAAGUGGAAGUUUGAGGCAAUAACAGGUCU
rnacentral:rRNA from 1 species